GAAUAUGAAGGUGAUUAGGCUGUGGCGUCUUUAACCCCAUUGUUCAGACAUAAUUGAUUUGACCUGGCAAGUCAGACUGAUGCCCCUUUCUUCCUCACAAUUAUUUAUGUGUUUCUCAUAAAGCUACCUGCUCAGUGAAUGAGGACGCUUUUGCCUGAUAGAAAAGGAAUAUUUUUCAGUUAUAGAUUACUGGUGUUUGUACUUCACUGCUAGCCUCUCCAAGUAAACCCAAAUAAUGGCUGUGUAGUUUUGUACUAAUCUUGCUUUAUAUAAAAAGUAAUGUUUAAUUUUAAAAGCCUGAAUUUU
rnacentral:snRNA from 1 species